GACGAACGCUGGCGGCGUGCUUAACACAUGCAAGUCGAACGGAAAGGCCCUGCUUUUGUGGGGUGCUCGAGUGGCGAACGGGUGAGUAACACGUGAGUAACCUGCCCUUGACUUUGGGAUAACUUCAGGAAACUGGGGCUAAUACCGGAUAGGAGCUCCUGCUGCAUGGUGGGGGUUGGAAAGUUUCGGCGGUUGGGGAUGGACUCGCGGCUUAUCAGCUUGUUGGUGGGGUAGUGGCUUACCGAGGCUUUGACGGGUAGCCGGCCUGAGAGGGUGACCGGCCACAUUGGGACUGAGAUACGGCCCAGACUCCUACGGGAGGCAGCAGUGGGGAAUAUUGCACAAUGGGCGGAAGCCUGAUGCAGCAACGCCGCGUGCGGGAUGACGGCCUUCGGGUUGUAAACCGCUUUCGCCUGUGACGAAGCGUAAGUGACGGUAAUGGGUAAAGAAGCACCGGCUAACUACGUG
rnacentral:rRNA from 1 species